AGACCAACUAAGUUUGUUCUUGGUAUGAGCUUUUGUGUGCAUGCACACGAAAGCUCGUACCAAGAACAAACUUAGUUGGUCU
rnacentral:miRNA from 1 species